UACGAGGGGUGCAAGCGUUGUUCGGAGUUACUGGGCGUAAAGGGUGCGUAGGCGGCUUCUUAAGUCUGGUGUGAAAUCUCCCGGCUCAACUGGGAGGGUGCGCCGGAUACUGAGGGGCUAGAGUGUGGGAGAGGCUCGCGGAAUUCCCAGUGUAGAGGUGAAAUUCGUAGAUAUUGGGAAGAACACCGGUGGCGAAGGCGGCGAGCUGGUCCAUUACUGACGCUGAGGCGCGACAGCGUGGGGAGCAAACAGG
rnacentral:rRNA from 1 species